GGUGGAAUUCCAUGUUUAGCGGUGAAAUGCGUAGAGAUAUGGAGGAACACCAGUGGCGAAGGCGACUUUUGGUCUGUAACUGACACUGAGCGCGAAAGCGUGGGGAGCAAACAGUAUUAGAUACCCUGGUAGUCACGCCGUAAACGAUGAGUGCUAAGUGUUAGAGGGUUUCCGCCCUUUAGUGCUGAAGUUAACGCAUUAAGCACUCCGCCUGGGGAGUACGGCCGCAAGGCUGAAACUCAAAGGAAUUGACGGGGGCCCGCACAAGCGGUGGAGCAUGUGGUUUAAUUCGAAGCAACGCGAAGAACCUUACCAGGUCUUGACAUCCUCUGAAAACCCUAGAGAUAGGGCUUCUCCUUCGGGAGCAGAGUGACAGGUGGUGCAUGGUUGUCGUCAGCUCGUGUCGUGAGAUGUUGGGUUAAGUCCCGCAACGAGCGCAACCCUUGAUCUUAGUUGCCAUCAUUAAGUUGGGCACUCUAAGGUGACUGCCGGUGACAAACCGGAGGAAGUGGGGAUGACGU
rnacentral:rRNA from 1 species